AAUAUUACUGUCUCUAGAUCCUGCGAAGAUUGCAAAUUCGCGGCACCGAAAACUCCAGUUCAGGAUCGGCUCAAAAACGUAAAUCAAAGGAAUAUGACUGCGAAAUUGAGGAGUGCCAUUUUUUCGUGGAGCUAUCAAGAAUUAAAAGGAGCAAGAGAUUUUUGCAUUGUGCAACGCCAAAGCAUCGUAGAGUGAGUAAUUGAAACAA